UACGUAGGUGGCAAGCGUUGUCCGGAUUUACUGGGCGUAAAGAGCGCGCAGGCGGUCGUACAAGCCGCGUGUGAAAGCCCCCGGCUCAACUGGGGAGGGUCACGCGAUACUGUUCGACUCGAAGGCAGGAGAGGGAAGUGGAAUUCCCGGUGUAGUGGUGAAAUGCGUAGAUAUCGGGAGGAACACCAGUGGCGAAGGCGACUUCCUGGCCUGUUCUUGACGCUGAGGCGCGAAAGCUAGGGUAGCAAACGGG
rnacentral:rRNA from 1 species